UGCCAUUGGGGCAUCGAGGAGCUGGGGGAGGGGACAGUGGCAGCAUCUGCCACUCAGAUACCAAUCCCUCGCCAAUCCCAAGGCCAACAUCUGCUGCAGGAUGAGAGGCAGGCUCUCCUGCGCACUGUCCACACCAACCCCACCCACCCCUUAUACAACAGGCAGAGGGAGGGGAAGCAGAUAGAGGGUGAAGGGAAGUGUGGAGGUGAGACAAACGGGUCCUGAGAGUCAUGCGGUGCAGGGAAGAGACAGAGGAGGACACAGGAAGGAGCAGGAUGACUAACAAGAGACAAGAAGAAGAUAAACAAAAACGAAAGGAAAGCUAACGAAACAGACACAGAAGUGAGUGGAGAAUGAAGUUUCAGGCCCUUCCUGUCCUGGUUCCCCCUCCAACCGCCCACUCCAACUUUUAGGCACACAGAGGGAGCUGCGGGGCUAUGCAGGCCCUGCAUUGCCACCCACUCCUGAGCUCUCCAGCUCACUCAUUUCCCUCCACUCUGACACAGCCCCUGGAUACUCGGGACUGAUGGGCUGAGGGCAAGGAGGGGAGAGAAAAGUGAACCAAAGGCAGAACUCGCCAAGCGAAGCCACUUACGCACAGUGCGGCCGGCAGCAUUUCCAUCCUACCUUUGCUGUUGCCAUGUCAGCCGGCUCCAUGAUCCCUGCUUGGCCUAGGGAGCAGCGGCACCAUCCAGAGAGAAAAGCAGAGUCACAAACAUCCUCCCAGAAAGGACAGACCACCCUUCUGGAAGGCCAGGGGAAAACAGAACUAUGUCUCUCUCUAGAAGGCCCUCAGGACAUGCUCUGUUGUGGGAGUAAAGAGCCUUUGCAACCCCCAGCAACUCAGAGGACUGCGUUACUACAGAUGCCCAGGAGGCCGAGUCAAGGGGCCUCUCCCCUAGCCUGGUACUUCUCUUCCCAGGAGUCGGCAUGGGUCGCACCAGGCUCCCCCUGCUGGGGGAGAGGGCGCAGAAAGGGAGGCCCUGCCCUCCCAUCACUGCUGGUACCCAGAGGUCAGAAUGAGGGGCGCAUGUGGGCUCAGGCCGGUUGGGCUGGUUGGUGCUGUGCAGGUGGGGUAGCAGGAAAGCAAAGAGCUUGCGCUGGCGGGGCAGUGUGAGAACCUCGGGAAGACACAGGCACUCAGAUGGAAGCAGGAGGGUGCUGCUCAAGGAGGCACCAGAGCCACCAAGCUGGGCCGGCAUGGCGAGGCGGAAGGUGCAGAGGGAGAGGAAUUCGCCCAGUGAAGCCACUCACCUUGCAAUAACAUUCAGACUGAAUGAGGCCUACACAGGAGCCAGGAGCGGGCGGUUCACACCCCCCCACUCCACUCCCAGAGACUCACAGCCUCUGUCUAAAGGUACAUGAGAGCAGCCGGCAGCCUGGCUGGAUCUGCAGAGGCCCCUGGCUCUGUCGGAGCAGCCUGAUUGGAGGAGCAGGAUGACUUCAUCCAGCCCCAUUCAUCACUCUAGGUUUCCUGCCCAGCAGGGACGGCCGAUCAGCCUGCAAGGACUACAGCUUCCUCUUCUUGGCUGCUUUACUAGGCAGCCUGGGAUAGGUUGUGUCUGUGUUGGGCAGCCAGGGAAGGGGAUCAAUCAGCAUAGCGGCAGCCUCGGGAAAGAGGGGAACAGGCUGCUCACAGUGCUGAAAAAGUACAAGGUUUCUGCUGCAAACACUGCGUAUAUUCACUGUGAGCAUCUGCCAGUGCUGGAGCCAGCAUCGGUACAAGGGCAGAAUAUGACCAGAAACUAGCACGGAUGUGAGUGGUGAGCUCUGACCUUCCUGAGAAAGGCAGGGGAGCUACCUCUCCCACCAGGGAAAAUAACCAUUGGAGAAACAGACCCUGUGCUCCGGCAGCCCUGAGGACCUCCCUGUCCUUUUUCACUGGCACUUGGCUCUAAGGACAUCAGUUCCCUCCCUGACCCAGGGGAAGAUACAAUGUCGGCUCCAUUUUACAAAUGAGGAACGUGAGACCCAGAAGAAAAGCCAAAGGGUCAACGCAGGACGUCAGCAUUUGGGAGCUUAUUUCCACCUCGACUUUUGCCUCAGAAAUGCAGUCACCUUCAGAUUAAAGAGGAAAGGCCAAGUGGGGACGAACCCAGAAGUUAAUGGCUUAUGGGUCACACACUGGAAGACAAGAAAAGAAGCAUUGAGCAACCUUGGAAAACUGGUGACACACCCCACCCCACCCACCUUUUUCCUUGCUGCAGAAUGGUGAUUCUUGGGCUAUGCACUAGACAGGCAGCAAAGAAGAAAUGCUGGAGUAGGGGAAACACAGAGCAGGUGACGGUUACACCUGCAGACAGUUCUGCUGAGGCUGCUGAAGCAGCCAGGCCUGCUGGAGAGAAGUGAAGAGCUGGGAACACAGGAGGGAAGAGCGACUGGUAACCCACAGACUUCUCUGCCCUGAUGCAGAUGUAAGAGCUUAGCCCAGACCAAGAAAGUUCUACUCUCUAUCACCCAAAGUCCAUAUGCACUGUCUUUCAAACGACUAUGCGUUCCCUAAGUAUGCAGAUCAUCAAAGAGGGAGCAUAUGAGUGGUCACAGAUCAAACCAUUUCGGUGCCCAUGAAAAGUCUGAAAAUUAAUAGAUAUUUGAGGACCCUCUGGGAAUUAUUCACUGAGGUCCAUGCCUGCUGCAGCAUUUGCUCAGAGUGAGCCUCUGUGGAGAUGGGGCUGGCUUCCUCAUCAGCUGUAGGCUCCCCAGUGUACUGCUGGCUGACUGCAGGCUGGGAAGCCUGGCCACACACCUACUUCUCCUGCUACUCACCCCAUGCACGAGACACUGGAAAAGCAAGAAGCAGAUUUUACGUGACCGGCUCCCUGUGGAAACUAAGAAUCCACGCAUCACCUCUCAUGGACUCUUUUGUGGCUCACAUUAACUAAGUCCUUAAACCUCCCAGUCUAGCUCAAAACACACAUUUUAGCUUUAGACACCUGCUGAUGCUGACAGUAAUAACAAAAGCUAGAACUUAUUGAGUGCUUACCAUGUGCCAGACAUAGUGCUAAGGGCUUUGCCUAUUUUAUCUCAUUGUGAUUCCCCACAACCUUCACAAAGUAGGUGUAAUUACCUGUGCUUUUCAAGAAGGAGGUAGAUUCAGAGAGAUAAAAUGAUUUUGCAAAAGCAAGGCAGUCAGUAAGUGGGACAGCCAGAAUUCAAACCAAGGUCUUUCAGUUUUCAAAAUGUUCCUGAGUUCCACAGUCACUAGGGGGAGAAUCGUGUCCCAGUAACCAGCACCUUAUAGUAGGAACAGAGGAUCUCAGUCUACCACUUUAUCUGCUGAGGACUCACUGUGUGAAUCAGUCUCUGCUCAGCACCCUUAGAACUUCUGCCCCAAGAGCCCCCGAGGAGAGAACUCUUGUUAAUAGAUGGCUACAUGAUCAUGGGCAUCUAUGCCUGUGCCUCGUGUGUGUGUGUGUGUGUGUGUGUGUGUGUGUGUGUGUGUGUGUGCGCGCGCGCGCGCGCAUGUGUGUGUAAAAGAGAAACAAUGAGACAGAGAACCAAGAUCAAAUCACCUUUACCUCUAGCUCCUACAUACCUUUAAAACUCAUUUAGUGUCGCCCUCCAUUUCUUUUUCUUUUUUUCCUCUCAUCUCAUUUGCCCCAUCUUUCAUGUAAAAAUGAAAAAAUAAAUAAAGCAAACCAAACAAGCAAAAUCCUGCCUGUAAGAUUACAUACCCCCAUUUCUUAAAUGCCUGCCAAAUUCACAUUUAACUCUGGUCUCUGGGCCUGGAAUCUCUUCCUCCUCCAAGAAACUUCUCCUCUCUACUUGUACAGCAGUCAGUGAGGAGCUGCUGCAGAACAACUUCACCCGGUGUAGGGGCUCUCAGCAGGGCAAGGCCCACACCUGACUUAUGUUCCCGUCUCCAUGUCAGCCUACUCAAACAGCUCUGCUGGCAGGGAAAAGUCUCCCCCAAAAACAUAAGAAAUUAACAUACGACAUCAACCCUCACAAGACCUAACCCAGGAAACCCAGAUAAUCCUAACCAACUCUUCUCCACGGUACCCUUCUCUUGGACCCUCCAAGUUCUCCACCCACAGAAUUAAUUUAGCACAAAAAGAACAGAAUUAGGCUACCACUGAGCUGGCCAGUUAUAAAGACAGAUCCAGGGAGCCAGGGCACUUUUCUGAGAGGCAUACGGUGAGGCACAGACUUAACUAAAGUCUGUGCACCUGUCACAUAGCAGAGACCUACCAGGCCACCCCAACCCAAAGGGACCCCCACCACCUACUUGGCUCGCAGAGAGGCCAGCUUCUUCCUCAGGGAGGACACAUGGUAGUGGUAAGCCUGCUUGACAGCUGUGCUGCAGGACACGGUCUCGGCACGCAGAUUCUGCACCAUGAUUGGCUCACUGGAGGACCAGCCACAUGGCAGCUGGGACCUCAAGGGCUGGGGAUUCACUUGGGAGCUCUGUGGACUCCCUGCCUCUGCAGCUGCCCCAGCUGUGCUCCAGACGGAGGGCUCCGACACAUAGACUCUCCUUGCCCUGCUGCCCCAUAUAAAACUCGGAGAGGUGAAAGGCCGAGGGUUAGAGGGUCGAACCUCUCAUGCUAUCAGAAUCUCUCAGCCUUCAGCCCAAGCCACAGCACCAAACAGAGCCUGCAUCCAUCUUUCCACACCUGGCAGUGCUCUGGGCACCUGGUGAGCUUCCGGGCUCUGUCCUCAGACAGAGAGGAUGGAGCUGGACCUGCAUGUGAUGUCAGCUGCUGGCACUGUCGGGAGGGGAGGGCUACCGGCACUGCUCCCAGAGGGUUUGCCACUUGGCUCCCUCCUCACUGCGAAGGGUCACCUGAGUGAACACGGGGCUGAGGGAAUUCAGUGGCUGGGCAGGUAGAUGAAGCAAGAGUGCUCUAGAAAUUUGCUGUGAGGGGCAAUUCCUGGGAUGGAAAAAGAACUGAAAAUACCUGUCCUUGUAAUAGGAAGCUGUAUAGUCCAGUAGUGAGCCUUAGUACCGGCGGAAGCAGCCGCCAGCUAGCCUGGCUUCCACACCUGAGGCUUGCGCUGACCUCAUGUGCCACUGCCUGGGCCCCUCCACUGGCUUAUUCAUGAAUUCCACAACCAAAGCUUCGUUGUUCAUCAGAUACAAGAGACUUUCUGUCCUUCAGGGUCUCAUCAACUACAGAGCAGACAGAUAAGGAAAUCAAAGACCCACACAGAAGGGAGGUGCUGUGACAAAACUAACCACAGCCUAACACCAUACCUAGAAAAUAAGGGAUGAUGUCUUAUGCCAAACGGAAGGAAUGAGGGUCCAGGAAGACAGCUGGACACAAACAUCUUUUAAAGUAGCCAGAGAAAAGACGAUACAAAAGUAAUUAUAACCAACCUUCAGCCUACUCCAUUCCUCUUCCCUGCUUUCAAGGAUGACCUCAUUUCCUGCCAUGCAGAGAAAAUAGAUCCUGCAGCUAUUGAUCUCACCUUCCCAUCGCCUCACCUGUGGACUCACCUGCAAGUACUCCCAUCUUCACUUCCUGCUCUGAGGGAAUCCUUUCCCUGUGAUCAAGACCUAUUCUCUCUUGCUUCUUCUGAAACCUUGCUUCCCUACCUUUCAGCAGGGGCACUGACCAGCUGAGCUGAAGCCCUUCCUCCUUCAUACCCAUGUGCCCUGUGUAUAACUCAUCACCAAGUCUUGGACAUUUUAUCUCCUAACUGUAUCUUUUGUCUGUCUGUCUGCAAACUUCAAACUCAGGGCCUAGAGCAGGGAUGGCAAACCUUUCAGAGCUUUCAAUGAUACAAACAGCCUGGGCAGCAUGCGUGCCCUUAGGUUUGGCACCCCAGCCUACAGCAUGACAGGCAAGCACUCUACCACUAAGCUAUACAUCCUCCAGUCCCAAAAAAGCCAAACAAAUACUUUUUGAUUUACCACCGUAGCUUCGAAGAGCACAGUCAACUGCCUACUGUCUCUAUUUGCACGCACAGGUUCUUUGUCCCCGCUUUUGGUUUGGUUUGGAACUGGGAAUUGAGUCUGGGCCUUCAUACCAAGCUACAGCCCCAACACAUAUAUCUGUGUACCUAUGAAAAUGUAAAUAUCUAUAAGCCUAUACAGACAUACAAAACUUUUUGAGACAGUCUAAGUUCCCAGGCUACGAUUUAACUUCUGACCCUCCUGCCCCAGUCUCCCCGAGUGCUGGCAUGCCCCACCACGUCUGGUUCUGUGGGCACUUACUUUAUAAUCUAUGUGUCUAAAUUAAGCUUACUACCGUGCCUGCUCUUCACAUUUUUCCUCCUUUUCCCACGCUAGCCACAGGCUAGAUGCUAUCGUGUUGUGAUCAUUACACACAAAACACAUUUGAUUCUCUCAAAAUGCAUGUGAGAUAUAUCACUGGGGCCAGGCAUUUAGCUCAGUGGUGCCGCCCUUGCCUUGCAAGCAUAAGGUCCAGAGUUCGA